rnacentral:rRNA from 1 species
UACGUAGGGUGCAAGCGUUGUCCGGAAUUAUUGGGCGUAAAGAGCUCGUAGGCGGCGUGUCGCGUCGACUGUGAAAACCCGCAGCUCAACUGCGGGCUUGCAGCCGAUACGGGCAGGCUAGAGUUCGGUAGGGGAGACUGGAAUUCCUGGUGUAGCGGUGAAAUGCGCAGAUAUCAGGAGGAACGCCGGUGGCGAAGGCGGGUCUCUGGGCCGAUACUGACGCUGAGGAGCGAAAGCGUGGGGAGCGAACAGG